CGUGUAGGCGGCCUGUCAAGUCGGGCGUGAAAUCCUCUGGCUCAACCAGAGAACUGCUCCCGAAACUGAUAGGCUUGAGUAUAGGAGAGGAAAGCGGAAUUCCUGGUGUAGCGGUGAAAUGCGUAGAUAUCAGGAAGAACACCAGUGGCGAAGGCGGCUUUCUGGCCUACUACUGACGCUGAUGCGCGAAAGCCGGGGGAGCGAACAGGAUUAGAUACCCUGGUAGUCC
rnacentral:rRNA from 1 species